ACAUUCAGUAUUUUUUGUACUAUAAUAUUUGGCUCAGGCUAAAAUUAUUUUUGCUCUUCUUGCUUUGCAGGUGGCAAUUACUGUCAUAGGUUCAGGGUGGAUCAGGGUUGUUGAGGUAACAAAAAUAAAUGUAUUCUUUGCAUUUCUUCCGCAGUUUUGUGAUUUUUCCUGUUCUGCCUGUGCCAGCUGACACAAUGUCCACUUAUUCCAUAAUUUGACACUGUUGCACAAUUUCAUAUAAUUUUGUUGUCUGUUUCUUAGUUUUUCCUGUUCUGCCUGUGCCAGCUGAGACAAUGUCCACUUAUUCCAUAAUUUCACACUGUUGCUCAAUUUCAUAUAAUUUUGUUGUCUGUUUCUUAAUUCAUUUCUUCUGGAUUUUUUUUUUUUUUUAACAGAAAGCUGUGUGAAAUCUUCCAAAGAAGAAAGCAGUUUCUAUCCAAGCAGGAAUAUCCAACUUAAAAAUUCCACAGAAGAAAGCAGUUUCUAUCCAAGCAGGAAUAUCCAACUUAAAAAUAAACACUAAGUGUAGAGACUUUAUUUUUAGGAAGACAAAUUUCCUCUCAGCAACCUCAGCACCCUUUCCUGUGUCCUCAGAGGUUUUCAACUGUGGAUCCUGCAUUGGUACUUGA
rnacentral:lncRNA from 12 species